rnacentral:rRNA from 1 species
CGCGUAGGCGGAUGCUUAAGUCAGAGGUGAAAGCCCAGGGCUCAACCUUGGAACUGCCUUUGAUACUGGGCAUCUUGAGUAUGGGAGAGGUGAGUGGAACUCCGAGUGUAGAGGUGAAAUUCGUAGAUAUUCGGAAGAACACCAGUGGCGAAGGCGACUCACUGGCCCAUUACUGACGCUGAGGCGCGAAAGCGUGGGGAGCAAACAGGAUUAGAUACCCUGGUAGUCCACGCUGUAAACGAUGAGUGCUAGUUGUCGGCAUGCAUGCAUGUCGGUGACGCAGCUAACGCAUUAAGCACUCCGCCUGGGGAGUACGGUCGCAAGAUUAAA